UGGGGAAUAUUGCGCAAUGGGGGCAACCCUGACGCAGCCAUGCCGCGUGAAUGAAGAAGGCCUUCGGGUUGUAAAGUUCUUUCGGUAGCGAGGAAGGCAUUUAGUUUAAUAGACUAAGUGAUUGACGUUAACUACAGAAGAAGCACCGGCUAACUCCGUGCCAGCAGCCGCGGUAAUACGGAGGGUGCGAGCGUUAAUCGGAAUAACUGGGCGUAAAGGGCACGCAGGCGGUGACUUAAGUGAGGUGUGAAAGCCCCGGGCUUAACCUGGGAAUUGCAUUUCAUACUGGGUCGCUAGAGUACUUUAGGGAGGGGUAGAAUUCCACGUGUAGCGGUGAAAUGCGUAGAGAUGUGGAGGAAUACCGAAGGCGAAGGCAGCCCCUUGGGAAUGUACUGACGCUCAUGUGCGAAAGCGUGGGGAGCAAACAGGAUUAGAUACCCUGGUAGUCCACGCUGUAAACGAUGUCGAUUUGGGGGUUGAGCUUUAAGCUUGGCGCCCGUAGCUAACGUGAUAAGUCGACCGCCUGGGGAGUACGGCCGCAAGGUUA
rnacentral:rRNA from 1 species